UCCACCAGGACUGUCCAAGCAACAGGUUCGAGAAGUAAGAGAUGUCGAUGGCGCUCGAAGAUCGUGGCGUCGUCAUCUCUUACUUCUUGGUCGGCAGCUUCGGCUGUCGCGCGUAGAGGUUUGCUCUUUAACAAAGUGGAAGAAGUGUAGUACGUACCGAGCCGGUGCGUACUGCAAGUUGUGUGAUUGCAUCGAUCCAGGCUGAGCUUGUCAGCGCAGGCUGGAUCGCACAAACGAGUUCGUUCCUGUACGCGGGCCUUCGGGAUGGCAACAUCGAAGAGGGUCCAAGGUUAUAGGAUCAAGCGACUAAGUGCAUGUGGUGGAUGCCUUGGCGAUCACAGGCGAUGAAGGACGUGUAAGCCUGCGAAAAGCGUGGGGGAGCUGGCAAUAGAGCAUUGAUCCCACGAUGUCCGAAUGGGGAAACCCGGCCCGCAAGGGUCAUCUCACACUGAAUACAUAGGUGUGUAGAGGCGAACCGAGCGAAUUGAAACAUCUCAGUA
rnacentral:rRNA from 1 species